GGGAUAAUAACUCAGCUGGGAGAGUGUACGACUGAAGAACAACUUCAGUUUCUGCUAUCGUAAAGUCGCCGGUUCGAUCCCGGCUUGUCCCA
rfam:Penicillium brasilianum genome assembly, contig: SCAF7